UACGUAGGGUGCGAGCGUUAAUCGGAAUUACUGGGCGUAAAGCGUGCGCAGGCGGUUCGUUGUGUCCGUCGUGAAAGCCCCGGGCUUAACCUGGGAACUGCGAUGGAAACUAGCAAGCUGGAGUGUGGCAGAGGGGGGUGGAAUUCCGCGUGUAGCAGUGAAAUGCGUAGAGAUGCGGAGGAACACCGAUGGCGAAGGCAGCCCCCUGGGCUAACACUGACGCUCAGGCACGAAAGCGUGGGGAGCAAACAGG
rnacentral:rRNA from 1 species